GGGUUGUGAGGUUAAGCGACUAAGCGUACACGGUGGAUGCCCUGGCAGUCAGAGGCGAUGAAGGACGUGCUAAUCUGCGAUAAGCGUCGGUAAGGUGAUAUGAACCGUUAUAACCGGCGAUUUCCGAAUGGGGAAACCCAGUGUGAUUCGUCACACUAUCAUUAACUGAAUCCAUAGGUUAAUGAGGCGAACCGGGGGAACUGAAACAUCUAAGUACCCCGAGGAAAAGAAAUCAACCGAGAUUCCCCCAGUAGCGGCGAGCGAACGGGGAGCAGCCCAGAGCCUGAAUCAGUGUGUGUGUUAGUGGAAGCGUCUGGAAAGGCGCGCGAUACAGGGUGACAGCCCCGUACACAAAAAUGCACAUGCUGUGAGCUCGAUGAGUAGGGCGGGACACGUGGUAUCCUGUCUGAAUAUGGGGGGACCAUCCUCCAAGGCUAAAUACUCCUGACUGACCGAUAGUGAACCAGUACCGUGAGGGAAAGGCGAAAAGAACCCCGGCGAGGGGAGUGAAAAAGAACCUGAAACCGUGUACGUACAAGCAGUGGGAGCCUCUUUAUGGGGUGACUGCGUACCUUUUGUAUAAUGGGUCAGCGACUUAUAUUCUGUAGCAAGGUUAACCGAAUAGGGGAGCCGAAGGGAAACCGAGUCUUAACUGGGCGUUAAGUUGCAGGGUAUAGACCCGAAACCCGGUGAUCUAGCCAUGGGCAGGUUGAAGGUUGGGUAACACUAACUGGAGGACCGAACCGACUAAUGUUGAAAAAUUAGCGGAUGACUUGUGGCUGGGGGUGAAAGGCCAAUCAAACCGGGAGAUAGCUGGUUCUCCCCGAAAGCUAUUUAGGUAGCGCCUCGUGAAUUCAUCUCCGGGGGUAGAGCACUGUUUCGGCAAGGGGGUCAUCCCGACUUACCAACCCGAUGCAAACUGCGAAUACCGGAGAAUGUUAUCACGGGAGACACACGGCGGGUGCUAACGUCCGUCGUGAAGAGGGAAACAACCCAGACCGCCAGCUAAGGUCCCAAAGUCAUGGUUAAGUGGGAAACGAUGUGGGAAGGCCCAGACAGCCAGGAUGUUGGCUUAGAAGCAGCCAUCAUUUAAAGAAAGCGUAAUAGCUCACUGGUCGAGUCGGCCUGCGCGGAAGAUGUAACGGGGCUAAACCAUGCACCGAAGCUGCGGCAGCGACGCUUAUGCGUUGUUGGGUAGGGGAGCGUUCUGUAAGCCUGUGAAGGUGUGCUGUGAGGCAUGCUGGAGGUAUCAGAAGUGCGAAUGCUGACAUAAGUAACGAUAAAGCGGGUGAAAAGCCCGCUCGCCGGAAGACCAAGGGUUCCUGUCCAACGUUAAUCGGGGCAGGGUGAGUCGACCCCUAAGGCGAGGCCGAAAGGCGUAGUCGAUGGGAAACAGGUUAAUAUUCCUGUACUUGGUGUUACUGCGAAGGGGGGACGGAGAAGGCUAUGUUGGCCGGGCGACGGUUGUCCCGGUUUAAGCGUGUAGGCUGGUUUUCCAGGCAAAUCCGGAAAAUCAAGGCUGAGGCGUGAUGACGAGGCACUACGGUGCUGAAGCAACAAAUGCCCUGCUUCCAGGAAAAGCCUCUAAGCAUCAGGUAACAUCAAAUCGUACCCCAAACCGACACAGGUGGUCAGGUAGAGAAUACCAAGGCGCUUGAGAGAACUCGGGUGAAGGAACUAGGCAAAAUGGUGCCGUAACUUCGGGAGAAGGCACGCUGAUAUGUAGGUGAAGUCCCUCGCGGAUGGAGCUGAAAUCAGUCGAAGAUACCAGCUGGCUGCAACUGUUUAUUAAAAACACAGCACUGUGCAAACACGAAAGUGGACGUAUACGGUGUGACGCCUGCCCGGUGCCGGAAGGUUAAUUGAUGGGGUCAGCGCAAGCGAAGCUCUUGAUCGAAGCCCCGGUAAACGGCGGCCGUAACUAUAACGGUCCUAAGGUAGCGAAAUUCCUUGUCGGGUAAGUUCCGACCUGCACGAAUGGCGUAAUGAUGGCCAGGCUGUCUCCACCCGAGACUCAGUGAAAUUGAACUCGCUGUGAAGAUGCAGUGUACCCGCGGCAAGACGGAAAGACCCCGUGAACCUUUACUAUAGCUUGACACUGAACAUUGAGCCUUGAUGUGUAGGAUAGGUGGGAGGCUUAGAAGUGUGGACGCCAGUCUGCAUGGAGCCGACCUUGAAAUACCACCCUUUAAUGUUUGAUGUUCUAACGUUGACCCGUAAUCCGGGUUGCGGACAGUGUCUGGUGGGUAGUUUGACUGGGGCGGUCUCCUCCUAAAGAGUAACGGAGGAGCACGAAGGUUGGCUAAUCCUGGUCGGACAUCAGGAGGUUAGUGCAAUGGCAUAAGCCAGCUUGACUGCGAGCGUGACGGCGCGAGCAGGUGCGAAAGCAGGUCAUAGUGAUCCGGUGGUUCUGAAUGGAAGGGCCAUCGCUCAACGGAUAAAAGGUACUCCGGGGAUAACAGGCUGAUACCGCCCAAGAGUUCAUAUCGACGGCGGUGUUUGGCACCUCGAUGUCGGCUCAUCACAUCCUGGGGCUGAAGUAGGUCCCAAGGGUAUGGCUGUUCGCCAUUUAAAGUGGUACGCGAGCUGGGUUUAGAACGUCGUGAGACAGUUCGGUCCCUAUCUGCCGUGGGCGCUGGAGAACUGAGGGGGGCUGCUCCUAGUACGAGAGGACCGGAGUGGACGCAUCACUGGUGUUCGGGUUGUCAUGCCAAUGGCACUGCCCGGUAGCUAAAUGCGGAAGAGAUAAGUGCUGAAAGCAUCUAAGCACGAAACUUGCCCCGAGAUGAGUUCUCCCUGACUCCUUGAGAGUCCUGAAGGAACGUUGAAGACGACGACGUUGAUAGGCCGGGUGUGUAAGCGCAGCGAUGCGUUGAGCUAACCGGUACUAAUGAACCGUGAGGCUUAACCUUACAACGCCGAAGGUGUUU
rnacentral:rRNA from 1 species